rnacentral:tRNA from 1 species
GUGCCUGUGGCUCAGUGGGUAGAGCACCGGCCCCAUAUACCAAGGGUGGCGGGUUCAAACCCAGCCCAGGCUCG